UAGGGAAUCUUCCGCAAUGGGCGAAAGCUUGACGGAGCAACGCCGCGUGAGUGAUGAAGGUCUUCGGAUCGUAAAACUCUGUUAUUAGGGAAGAACAAAUGUGUAAGUAACUAUGCACGUCUUGACGGUACCUAAUCAGAAAGCCACGACUAACUACGUGCCAGCAGCCGCGGUAAUACGUAGGUGGCAAGCGUUAUCCGGAAUUAUUGGGCGUAAAGCGCGCGUAGGCGGUUUUUUAAGUCUGAUGUGAAAGCCCACGGCUCAACCGUGGAGGGUCAUUGGAAACUGGAAAACUUGAGUGCAGAAGAGGAAAGUGGAAUUCCAUGUGUAGCGGUGAAAUGCGCAGAGAUAUGGAGGAACACCAGUGGCGAAGGCGACUUUCUGGUCUGUAACUGACGCUGAUGUGCGAAAGCGGGGGGAUCAAACAGG
rnacentral:rRNA from 1 species